AAGAAAUGCAUGCCAAGUGUCUGAAUGGGCCCUGCGUUCUGACAGAUUAAAAGAGCAUGGCUGACCUGUAAUCACGUCAAAAGAGGAAGACAGAGCCUCUGGAGGUGAAGGCAUGUCCGUACAAGCGGAGCGUGGGUACAGUUCUCAGGGCAGGGAAAUGUCCACUCCUCAUGAACUUGUCUGGUUUGGUGGAGCAUGCCAGUGGAUCUGGGGGAAGGGCAACAUCAACACACAACACGCAGCCAGAAGUCAUGCCAUGGAUGGCUAUCACUCUAGGGAUAAAUUUACCUGACGGAGCUCCCUUCAGUCUCUGCAGAGCUUCUGGGUUGAGAGCAGGACAGUGUUCCUUGGUGUUUAUGGAUCUCGGUGUGUCUAGUGCACAGACGGUACGCGGUACGAGAGUGACAAGCUCGGAGUAAUGUGGUAGGGUCGCGGACAGCCGAGGUAAACCUCAAUUGUUUGUAGCAUCCAUCUGUACUGUGCCUUUUUGUGAAUUGAUCAGUGGUAAAUGUAUUAUGUUUUCGUUACAGAUUGCCACUGUUGCCUUGUCUUCUUGUCUUUUGGUUUAUCUUGUCUUUUUGUUGUAUAUUUUGUUUCAUCUUUUUCUUGAGUUAGUUGUUUAGUUUGAAGCUUAUUAGAUGGUUUAUUUCAGGUCUUUGAGGCUGGGUUUUUUUUAGCUUUACUUCUGUUACGUUAGAUUAAGUUACACUUUUGUUUAGUUACAACAGUGUUUCUUUUGCCUUUAGUUUAGGUUACAGCUUAGUUUUUGUUCAGUGUUGAAGGAGACUACUCAGUAACAGUGUUUGAUGAGACUCUGCUCAGUGAAA